rnacentral:rRNA from 1 species
CCCUUGUACACACCGCCCGUCACGCCAUGGAAGCUGGGGGGACCUGAAGCCGGUGGGCUAACCGCAAGGGGGCAGCCGUCAAAGGUCAAUUCAGUGACUGGGGUG